GUGUGGGACAUGGGAUGUGACAGAGAAAAGAGUCAAAGAAAUCUACGUCUAUAUUGGAAUUUUACCAAGAACUUGGAUUGCCGCCAAAACAGAAAGUUAAAAUCUUUCAUGUAACAGAUAAUGCUGUGAUUAAGCCAGGCACCCCUCUUUAUGCUGCUCAUUUUCGCCCAGGACAGUAUGUGGAUGUCACAGCCAAAACUAUUGGUAAAGGUUUUCAAGGCGUCAUGAAAAGAUGGGGAUUUAAAGGCCAGCCUGCUACUCAUGGUCAGACAAAAACCCACAGGAGACCUGGAGCUAUUUCAACUGGUGUAAGUAUAACUUAGUGGUCCCCCUUUUAAUGCUAAAUACUCAGCUUCUACACAUAGAGUGCUUUAGUCUGUCCUUGGGGUCAGGUCACAUAAUUUUAAUCUGACUCCAGGUGGGUCACAGUACUUGUCACAUUUUUAUGGGUCCUGGCCUCACUUACUUUCCAGAACCAGACUUGAAUCAUUUAGUAACAACCCCUAUACUUACAGCCAGUAUUCUCAGUACAUUCCUGCCUACUUUCUCAUUUCCAUCUCUGUCUCCCAUCCUACCCUCUGAAGUCAGCUGCAAGAAAUCAGGGAUUAGAAUGUCCUUCCAUCUACCCCACCAGUUCUUUCACAAAUUAAUUUUUGCCUAAAACAGACAGUUGGGAAAGAUUGUCAAGGACAGUAUCAUGGUGCAAGGGAGAAGUAGUAGAGAGGAAAUGGGGACACAAACAAUAAGAGCAUAGAAAAUGGAGAAGGACUUUUGUAUUCUGAAAUAAUUUUCUCUAAGUUGUAGGAUUGAAUGGAUAAGUAAAUAUAUUGAUAAUGGGAGCAAGUUUCUUACUGCUGGAAAAGGAUAUUCAGGUAUGAAAAGGAGGGAAAUUAGAACAAACCGUGUAGUGUUGAAUUUAGAUUGCAGGUAUCCAUCAUUCACAUUUACUGUAUGUGUACAUAAAGAAAGAGAAAUAGAUAUAGAUAGGUAUGUGUGUGUAUAUUUAUUCCUUAGCUAUCUGCUGAAAGAACCUAAAAGCAAAAAUAUUCUAUAUCAGCAAGCCACACCUAGAGCCUAGAUCUUAGUUUCUGAAUAUCAUUGCCCACUGAAAGGAACUUGGACUCAUUGGAGAAAUGGCGAAUUUCAUGCACGGGGCAGGAAGAGUAUAAGAUGAACCCAAAAUAGCUUGAUCAAGAAAGUGAGGAAUGUAAUUUACAGCGUGGUAACUAUAGUUAAU